rnacentral:misc_RNA from 1 species
UCGUAACAAGGUCUCCGUUGGUGAACCAGCGGAGGGAUCAUUACCGAGUUAUACAACUCCCAAACCCACUGUGAACCUUACCUCAGUUGCCUCGGCGGGAACGCCCCGGCCGCCUGCCCCCGCGCCGGCGCCGGACCCAGGCGCCCGCCGCAGGGACCCCAAACUCUCUUGCAUUACGCCCAGCGGGCGGAAUUUCUUCUCUGAGUUGCACAAGCAAAAACAAAUGAAUCAAAACUUUCAACAACGGAUCUCUUGGUUCUGGCAUCGAUGAAGAACGCAGCGAAAUGCGAUAAGUAAUGUGAAUUGCAGAAUUCAGUGAAUCAUCGAAUCUUUGAACGCACAUUGCGCCCGCCAGCAUUCUGGCGGGCAUGCCUGUUCGAGCGUCAUUUCAACCCUCGAGCCCCCCCGGGGGCCUCGGUGUUGGGGGACGGCACACCAGCCGCCCCCGAAAUGCAGUGGCGACCCCGCCGCAGCCUCCCCUGCGUAGUAGCACACACCUCGCACCGGAGCGCGGAGGCGGUCACGCCGUAAAACGCCCAACUUUCUUAGAGUUGACCUCGGAUCAGGUAGGAAUACCCGCUGAACCUAAGCAUAUCA